AACGAACGCUGGCGGCAUGCCUAACACAUGCAAGUCGAACGAGACCUUCGGGUCUAGUGGCGCACGGGUGCGUAACGCGUGGGAACCUGCCCUUAGGUUCGGAAUAACUCCCCGAAAGGGGUGCUAAUACCGGAUAAUGUCUUCGGACCAAAGAUUUAUCGCCUUUGGAUGGGCCCGCGUUGGAUUAGCUGGUUGGUAGGGUAAAAGCCUACCAAGGCGACGAUCCAUAGCUGGUCUGAGAGGAUGAUCAGCCACACUGGGACUGAGACACGGCCCAGACUCCUACGGGAGGCAGCAGUGGGGAAUAUUGGACGAGGGGCGAAAGCCUGAUCCAGCAAUGCCGCGGGAGUGAUGAAGGCCUUAGGGUUGUAAAGCUCUUUUACCCGGGAUGAUAAUGACAGUACCGGGAGAAUAAGCUCCGGCUAACUCCGUG
rnacentral:rRNA from 1 species